rnacentral:rRNA from 1 species
UACGUAGGGCGCAAGCGUUAUCCGGAAUUAUUGGGCGUAAAGAGCUCGUAGGCGGUUUGUCGCGUCUGCUGUGAAAACCUAAGGCUCAACCUUGGGCUUGCAGUGGGUACGGGCAGACUAGAGUGCGGUAGGGGUGACUGGAAUUCCUGGUGUAGCGGUGGAAUGCGCAGAUAUCAGGAGGAACACCAAUGGCGAAGGCAGAUCUCUGGGCCGUAACUGACGCUGAGGAGCGAAAGCAUGGGGAGCGAACAGG